CUGUCACCUAUGCACACUUUUGGUCUGUUGAUCUUUUCUUCCUGCCAGCUGCACCAGGGCAACAGUGGACAGUCUGUCUGGGGACUUACCCCAGAGACGAGAGCCUAACAGCAGCCUGAGGAGAGGAAGCCCUCCCAGCUCUCCUGGGUGAGGAUCUACCUUAAUAUGCAGAGUGGGAGAGGCAAGACCCCACUAGACCACUCAUCUACAUUUAACAUCGAUCGUGAUAGAUGAAGGCAGGAAGCCGCAGCUCCAGGAGGGUGUUCACCACGCCACAGUGGCAAUGUGACCAAGCUGCGUGACACACCACAAGGGCUUAGGAUCUUUUGCGAUCUGCUCAAGCAGAAUCGACUGCCUUUUCCUCCUUGGCUGUUAUCUUCGGUACUACAAAGAGAAAAAUAUACUGGCUUGAUGAUCUGCCUUUACUGGGCUAAAUUGUUCCACUUGAACAGCGAUCAACUAUUUCCCACAAGCCACAGUCUAGCCUCUGUGAUUAAACCGGCAAGCAAGGCACUGCUCCUCUUACCCGGAAGCUGUUGCAGCCUAGUCCACUCUGGGCUCCAAUCCUGUCAAUCCUACCCCCGAAGCAGCUGGAUCUUCGUAGGCUCCGAGGGCCAGCGAGCAGAGCCCUCAGUUUGCUUUUCAAGAGGGCAGAUCUAUCGGAGGGGUCCCAGGGGCUGCGCCCUAGAGCACUGCCGUCUCUCAGAGGUGGGUUGACCUCCCCAGUCCAGGGAGGCACCUCGGGGAGGGAGCUAAGUGCGGCCCCUGCUUCCUCAGUCUGCUCACUCAGGGCCUGCGGGGGCAUGACCUCAUCUUCUAC
ensembl:antisense Gm13054 predicted gene 13054